UCGGUGGGGUAACCGUAAGGAGCCAGCCGCCUAAGGUGGGACAGAUGAUUGGGGUGAAGUCGUAACAAGGUAGCCGUAUCGGAAGGUGCGGCUGGAUCACCUCCUUUCUAAGGA
rnacentral:rRNA from 1 species